GAUUGAUAAAAGUAAAACUUAAAGGGUUAACUAGUAAACAUAUUAACAUAAAUUACAGUUAUAUACACAUAUAACACACGAGUUAAGUUAUAAAAGAGAGGCGAAGGACACCAAAAAGACAAACUCAAAAAGUCGAAAAUAAACUGACAACCGUUACCCUAUGACUAAAAAAGAAAAAAAAAGACUCACAGCCAAACAAAAUACAUAGAAAACCCAAGACUGAGCAACAC
rnacentral:lncRNA from 1 species